AAAAAGCCACUAAGCUUCAGCUAUACACGACCGUACCGCAAACCGACACUGGUGCGCGAGAUGAGUAUUCUAAGGCGCUUGAGAGAACUCAGGAGAAGGAACUCGGCAAAUUGACACCGUAACUUCGGAAGAAGGUGUGCCCUAUUAGUGUGAAGUGAACAACGGAGCAUGAAUGGGUUGCAAAAAAUCGGUGGCUGCGACUGUUUAUUAAAAACACAGCACUCUGCAAACACGAAAGUGGACGUAUAGGGUGUGACGCCUGCCCGGUGCUGGAAGAUUAAAUGAUGGGGUGCAAGCUCUUGAUUGAAGUCCCAGUAAACGGCGGGCGUAACGAUAACGGUCCUAAGGUAGCGAAAUACCUUGUCGGGUAAGUUCCGACCUGCACGAAUGGCGUAACGAUGGCCACACUGUCUCCUCCUGAGACUCAGCGAAGUUGAAAUGUUUGUGAUGAUGCAAUCUCCCGCGGAAAGACGGAAAGACCCCAUGAACCUUUACUGUAGCUUUGUAUUGGACUUUGAACAGAUCUGUGUAGGAUAGGUGGGAGGCUUUGAAGCAGGGCCGCUAGAUCUUGUGGAGCCAACGUUGAAAUACCACCCUGGUGUGUUUGAGGUUCUAACCUAGGUCCAUUAUCUGGAUCGGGGACAGUGCAUGGUAGGCAGUUUGACUGGGGCGGUCUCCUCCCAAAGCGUAACGGAGGAGUUCGAAGGUACGCUAGUUACGGUCGGACAUCGUGACGAUUGUGCAAUGGCAUAAGCGUGCUUAACUGCGAGACUGACAAGUCGAGCAGAUGCGAAAGCAGGACAUAGUGAUCCGGUGGUUCUGUAUGGAAGGGCCAUCGCUCAACGGAUAAAAGGUACUCUGGGGAUAACAGGCUGAUACCGCCCAAGAGUUCAUAUCGACGGCGGUGUUUGGCACCUCGAUGUCGGCUCAUCUCAUCCUGGGGCUGUAGCCGGUCCCAAGGGUAUGGCUGUUCGCCAUUUAAAGAGGUACGUGAGCUGGGUUUAAAACGUCGUGAGACAGUUUGGUCCCUAUCUUCCGUGGGCGCUGCAGAUUUGAGGAAGCCUGCUCCUAGUACGAGAGGACCGGAGUGGACACACCUCUGGUGUAUCGGUUGUCACGCCAGUGGCAUUGCCGAGUAGCUAAGUGUGGAAGAGAUAACCGCUGAAAGCAUCUAAGCGGGAAACUCGUUUCAAGAUGAGAUCUGCCGGGGCCUUGAGCCCCCUGAAGAGUCGUUCAAGACCAGGACGUUGAUAGGUCAGGUGUGGAAGCGCAGUAAUGCGUUAAGCUAACUGAUACUAAUUGCUCGUGCGGCUUGACCCC
rnacentral:rRNA from 1 species